GAUGAACGCUGGCGGCGUGCCUAAUACAUGCAAGUCGAGCGAACAGAUGAGGAGCUUGCUCCUCUGACGUUAGCGGCGGACGGGUGAGUAAAACGUGGAUAACCUUCCUAUAAGACUGGGAUAACUUCGGGAAACCGGAGCUAAUACCGGAUAAUAUAUUGAACCGCAUGGUUCAAUAGUGAAAGACGGUUUUGCUGUCACUUAUAGAUGGAUCCGCGCCGCAUUAGCUAGUUGGUAAGGUAACGGCUUACCAAGGCAACGAUGCGUAGCCGACCUGAGAGGGUGAUCGGCCACACUGGAACUGAGACACGGUCCAGACUCCUACGGGAGGCAGCAGUAGGGAAUCUUCCGCAAUGGGCGAAAGCCUGACGGAGCAACGCCGCGUGAGUGAUGAAGGUCUUCGGAUCGUAAAACUCUGUUAUUAGGGAAGAACAAAUGUGUAAGUAACUAUGCACGUCUUGACGGUACCUAAUCAGAAAGCCACGGCUAACUACGUG
rnacentral:rRNA from 1 species